UAUCUGUGUCAAAGUCUAGGAGGUAGGUGUAUCUGUCCAGGAGGUAGGUGUAUCUGUCAAGGAGGUAGGUGUACCUGUCAAGGAGGUAGGUGUAUCUGUCAAGGAGGUAGGUGUAUCUGUCUAGGAGGUAGGUGUAUCUGUCUAGGAGGUAGGUGUAUCUGUCUAGGAGGUAGGUGUAUCUGUCUAGGAGGUAGGUGUAUCUGUCUAGGAGGUAGGUGUAUCUGUCUAGGAGGUAGGUGUAUCUGUGUCUAGGAGGUAGGUGUAUCUGUCUAGGAGGUAGGUGUAUCUGUCAAGGAGGUAGGUGUAUCUGUCUAGGAGGUAGGUGUAUCUGUGUCAAGGAGGUAGGUGUAUCUGUCAAGGAGGUAGGUGUAUCUGUCAAGGAGGUAGGUGUAUCUGUGUCUAGGAGGUAGGUGUAUCUGUCUAGGAGGUAGGUGUAUCUGUGUCUAGGAGGUAGGUGUAUCUGUCUAGGAGGUAGGUGUAUCUGUCUAGGAGGUAGGUGUAUCUGUCUAGGAGGUAGGUGUAUCUGUCAAGGAGGUAGGUGUAUCUGUCUAGGAGGUAGGUGUAUCUGUCUAGGAGGUAGGUGUAUCUGUGUCAAGGAGGUAGGUGUAUC